rnacentral:tRNA from 1 species
GUUUUAAUAGUUUAAAAAAAAACAAUGGUCUUGUAAAUCAUUAUUAGAAUAAUAUCUUUAAAACU